rnacentral:SRP_RNA from 1 species
UGGUGAUGGGAGCUGGGGGGCUCGUCCUUCCCUGUUACCUGAAACGGGCGAUACGCAGGGGCUUGACUUGAAAGGCGCCGUUUCUGAUAGGUUGCAGGACCCUCUAGCCGACGUUGAAACACCGCCCCAUCGGACCAGUGUAGAAGGAUUGUUUCUGUAGAGAAGCAAUUACUUCCUCAUUGUCGAAACCCGAUAGGCCCGGGAGGGAGCAUCGGUUAGACGAACAUGUAGGUGCUGGUGGGAUACCGGGGUUGAGAAAGCAAUUGGGACACCGUGCCUAGAAGGAACGACCACUUCCAAGGUCCAUCACCA